rnacentral:rRNA from 1 species
AGUGAACGCUGGCGGUAGGCCUAACACAUGCAAGUCGAACGGCAGCACAGUAAGAGCUUGCUCUUACGGGUGGCGAGUGGCGGACGGGUGAGGAAUACAUCGGAAUCUACUUUUUCGUGGGGGAUAACGUAGGGAAACUUACGCUAAUAUCGCAUACGACCUACGGGUGAAAGCAGGGGAUCUUCGGACCUUGCGCGAUUGAAUGAGCCGAUGUCGGAUUAGCUAGUUGGCGGGGUAAAGGCCCACCAAGGCGACGACCCGUAGCUGGUCUGAGAGGAUGAUCAGCCACACUGGAACUGAGACACGGUCCAGACUCCUACGGGAGGCAGCAGUGGGGAAUAUUGGACAAUGGGCGCAAGCCUGAUCCAGCCAUACCGCGUGGGUGAAGAAGGCCUUCGGGUUGUAAAGCCCUUUUGUUGGGAAAGAAAAGCAGCAGGUUAAUACCCCGCUGUUCUGACGGUACCCAAAGAAUAAGCACCGGCUAACUUCGUG